rnacentral:rRNA from 1 species
CGCGUAGGCGGCUUGACAAGUCAGGAUGUGAAAGCCCCGGGCUUAACCCGGGAAUUGCAUCUGAAACUGUUGAGCUUGAGUUCUGGAGGGGGUAGUGGAAUUCCCAGUGUAGCGGUGAAAUGCGUAGAUAUUGGGAGGAACACCUGCGGCGAAGGCAGCUACCUGGACAGGAACUGACGCUGAGGCACGAAAGCUAGGGGGAGCGAACGGGAUUAGAUACCCCGGUAGUCCUAGCUGUAAACGAUGGGCACUUGGUGUUGGGGGUAUUGAGUCCCUCGGUGCCGGAGCUAACGCGAUAAGUGCCCCGCCUGGGGAGUACGGUCGCAAGACUGAA